rnacentral:tRNA from 14 species
GCGCCGGUAGCUCAGUGGUAGAGCAUUCGACUUUUAAUCGAAUGGUCGCGGGUUCGACCCCCGCCCGGCGUACCA